UCACUCAACAAGCACAAGUCAUGGAAAAAAUGACAAACAACGAUCUGAGAAAAUAUCCGUGGCACUAUGACCUGCAGAAAUAUUUGACAUUACGUGCACUGCAUGCCCUCCCCAUACUUCCACAUGUGUGAUGAAAGUCUGUUUAUUUGUCUGUUUCCUCUUCUGGGAAACAGUGCAGAGCCGGGUCCAGCAGAUGAGCUACAAAGGCUCAUGGAGUUCCACCGGGACGUGGCUCAGGGUCUCUUCAGCGAGGCCGCGUUUGGGACAGCGGCACCAAGAUACGGACGGCCGUCACCGACUAUGCUCCUACUCCGUGCAAGAACUCUCUCUCGCAGCCAUUGCAUGGAAUCCGCUCGGUGGAAAAAUGAACUCAUCCCCACACAACGAUGCUCAAAGAGAGGCCGCCAGAGGUCAAAGCCAGAGCGCAUUUUCUGCAGGCUGUCAGAUUCUCCAGCGCGGGUCUUUAGAAACUUCACGGAUGCACACAAGGAAAUGAACUGGGUAUUUUUAGAUCCUGACACAACCCCUGGUUCCACAAAGCCAAUUAAAUACCCAAGGCUGC
rnacentral:lncRNA from 1 species